GAUGAACGCUGGCGGCGUGCCUAAUACAUGCAAGUCGAGCGAACAGACGAGGAGCUUGCUCCUCUGACGUUAGCGGCGGACGGGUGAGUAACACGUGGAUAACCUACCUAUAAGACUGGGAUAACUUCGGGAAACCGGAGCUAAUACCGGAUAAUAUAUUGAACCGCAUGGUUCAAUAGUGAAAGACGGUUUUGCUGUCACUUAUAGAUGGAUCCGCGCCGCAUUAGCUAGUUGGUAAGGUAACGGCUUACCAAGGCAACGAUGCGUAGCCGACCUGAGAGGGUGAUCGGCCACACUGGAACUGAGACGCGGUCCAGACUCCUACGGGAGGCAGCAGUAGGGAAUCUUCCGCAAUGGGCGAAAGCCUGACGGAGCAACGCCGCGUGAGUGAUGAAGGUCUUCGGAUCGUAAAAUUCUGUUAUUAGGGAAGAACAAAUGUGUAAGUAACUAUGCACGUCUUGACGGUACCUAAUCAGAAAGCCACGGCUAACUACGUG
rnacentral:rRNA from 1 species